UACGGAGGGGGGCUAGCGUUGUUCGGAAUUACUGGGCGUAAAGCGCACGUAGGCGGCUUUGUAAGUUAGAGGUGAAAGCCCGGAGCUCAACUCCGGAAUUGCCUUUAAGACUGCAUCGCUUGAACAUCGGAGAGGUGAGUGGAAUUCCGAGUGUAGAGGUGAAAUUCGUAGAUAUUCGGAAGAACACCAGUGGCGAAGGCGACUCACUGGACGAUUGUUGACGCUGAGGUGCGAAAGCGUGGGGAGCAAAACAGG
rnacentral:rRNA from 1 species